UCCGAGUCAAAACUGAACUGAAGGUCAUUGGACAUAUGUCCGACCCAAACUCAACGUCAUCGGACAUUUUGUCAGACGGCCCUGUAAAAUAUAUUUUAAGGCCUGAAUUCAUGCAUUAUUCAUAAGGCGAAAGCCUGAAUAACAUCGCUGUGAAGAUAUAUAGAAAUUACAAGUUAAUAAAGAAAGAUUUAAAAGGAUUAUACGAAGGCGAAGAUAUAUUAAAGAUAAAGAAUUGUCAGGAAUUGAAGAGUUGUGCUCAGUCGUGAAAAGAGAUAAGUUUGAACAGUACAUUAUUAUUAAGAAUUAUAUUAUAUAAGUAAAAGUUAUAGAGACGCUAAUUAUUGAGAUUUGAGUAAUAUAUAAGUAAGAAAUAAAUAUAUCAUUGAAAGUAAUUGGUUUCACAAUCUUUGUUGCGAGCGAAUAGAACCAAAAGCGCAGCCAAAUAAAAUAGUAAGGACCGGCUCGUAACAAAUUGGGGGCCCGCCCGGGAAAACUUUCUCGUUUGACAUUGCAUGACUAUAAAGUAAAACAUUCCAAAACAAAAUUUUAAAGAUGGCCC